AGCCGCCGCGGUAACACCGGCGGCCCGAGUGGUGAUCGUGAUUAUUGGGUCUAAAGGGUCCGUAGCCGGUUUGGUCAGUCCUCCGGGAAAUCUGAUAGCUCAACUAUUAGGCUUUCGGGGGAUACUGCCAGACUUGGAACCGGGAGAGGUAAGAGGUACUACAGGGGUAGGAGUGAAAUCUUGUAAUCCCUGUGGGACCACCUGUGGCGAAGGCGUCUUACCAGAACGGGUUCGACGGUGAGGGACGAAAGCUGGGGGCACGAACCGGAUUAGAUACCCGGGUAGUCCCAGCCGUAAACGAUGCUCGCUAGGUGUCAGGCAUGGCGCGACCGUGUCUGGUGCCGCAGGGAAGCCGUGAAGCGAGCCACCUGGGAAGUACGGCCGCAAGGCUGAAACUUAAAGGAAUUGGCGGGGGAGCACAACAACGGGUGGAGCCCUGCGGUUUAAUUGGACUCAACGCCGGACAACUCACCGGGGGCGACAGCAAUAUGUAGGCCAAGCUGAAGACUUUGCCUGAAUCGCUGAGGAGUGGUGCAUGG
rnacentral:rRNA from 1 species